rnacentral:sRNA from 1 species
AUUAUAAUUAUGUCGAAAAUAUAUGUUAUCAUAAAUUUAGGCUAUGAAUAGUGACAUGCGAAUAUGCAUUGGAGUGUGGUUUAUCUACAUUAUCCGCAUUUUGUAAUUAUUCUGUACUUUUUAUUUAUUUGUGAAGCGGUAUUCAACGGUGAUGUGCGGUUCAAUUAUAAUCAACUGCCAUU